rnacentral:rRNA from 1 species
GAUGAACGCUGGCGGCGUGCUUAACACAUGCAAGUCGAACGAUGAACCUGGAGCUUGCUCUGGGGGAUUAGUGGCGAACGGGUGAGUAACACGUGAGCAACCUGCCCCUGACUCUGGGAUAAGCGCUGGAAACGGCGUCUAAUACUGGAUAUGUGACGUGACCGCAUGGUCUGCGUUUGGAAAGAUUUUUCGGUUGGGGAUGGGCUCGCGGCCUAUCAGCUUGUUGGUGAGGUAAUGGCUCACCAAGGCGUCGACGGGUAGCCGGCCUGAGAGGGUGACCGGCCACACUGGGACUGAGACACGGCCCAGACUCCUACGGGAGGCAGCAGUGGGGAAUAUUGCACAAUGGGCGGAAGCCUGAUGCAGCAACGCCGCGUGAGGGAUGACGGCCUUCGGGUUGUAAACCUCUUUUAGCAGGGAAGAAGCGAGAGUGACGGUACCUGCAGAAAAAGCGCCGGCUAACUACGUGCCAGCCGCCGCGGUAAAAC